AGCAACGAAGAACGUUCUGCCGAGCGAAAAGAAUUCUACAAAAAAAAAAUCCGCGAAUCGCUUAAUUCACCAAGUGCAGCUGAAGAAAAGCAACAACAACAAGGACGAACAGAGCAAGCGCAGCAGCGGCAGCAGCUGAAAUGAGAGCAGCGCAGCGGUGAAAGAAAAACGAGUGAGAGUGAGAGUGAGAGUGUGGAGCUAGAGUGUGAGAGCGAGAGCGAGAGCGUUGAGAUCCCAGCAAAAGAUAAUCAACGGCUCUGCAAAGAAAAAACGGCAGCUUUACGUUCCAGCUUCCAGCGUUUAGCUUCCCAAAAGCAUUUCCAAUUCCAAGCCAGUCGCAACGUCGGGCGGAAUACCGCUAUUUAAGAUCACGUCGUAGUCACUGUCACUGUCCACCGCCGCCACCUGCUCCUGCCCACCAUACGUCACGCGAUGCAACCACAAGUAACGGUUGUUGCAGCAGUAGAAAACGCAGCAGCAGCCACAGUCACAGCACCAACAGAAGCAGCAGCAGCAGCAGGAAACGCAGUAACAGCAGCAGCAGGAAGCGCAGUCGACGUUCGCCGCCAGCAAUCGUUUAUCGAUAGCCAAAGGACUCCAAUCGAGCUGUAAUCGCGUUUUGCGUUUUUUUUUUUGUGCACG